rnacentral:rRNA from 1 species
UGAUACUAAGCCAUGCGAGUCUUUGUAGUAAUACAAGGCAUACGGCUCAGUAACACGUAGUCAACCUACCUUAUGGACGAGGAUAAUCUCGGGAAACUGAGGAUAAUACUCGAUAGACCAUCAUUCCUGGAAUGGUUGGUGGUUGAAAUGAUUCGUCGCCAUAGGAUGGGACUGCGGCCUAUCAGCUUGUUGGCGAGGUAAUGGCUCACCAAGGCGAUUACAGGUACGGGCUCUGAGAGGAGAAGCCUGGAGAUGGGUACUGAGACACGGACCCAGGCCCUAUGGGGCGCAGCAGGCGAGAAAACUUUGCAAUGUGCGAAAGCACGACAAGGUUAAUCCGAGUGAUUUCUGCUAAAGGAAUCUUUUGCUAGUUCUAAAAAUACUAGUGAAUAAGGGGUGGGCAAGUUCUGGUGUCAGCCGCCGCGGUAAAACCAGCACCUCAAGUGGUCAGGAGGAUUAUUGGGCCUAAAGCAUCCGUAGCCGGCUCUUCAAGUUUUCGGUUAAAUCUAUACGCUUAACGUAUAGGCUGCCNAAAAUACUGUAGAGCUAGGGAGUGGGAGAAGUAGACGGUACUCGGUAGGAAGGGGUAAAAUCUUUUGAUCUAUUGAUGACCACCUGUGGCGAAGGCGGUCUACCAGAACAUGUUCGACGGUGAGGGAUGAAAGCUGGGGGAGCAAACCGGAUUAGAUACCCGGGUAGUCCCAGCUGUAAACGAUGCAGACUCGAUGAUGUAUU